rnacentral:misc_RNA from 1 species
GUAUAAGAGACAGGUGAGUCAUCGAAUCUUUGAACGCACAUUGCGCCCCCUGGUAUUCCGGGGGGCAUGCCUGUCCGAGCGUCAUUGCAACCUUCAAGCGCGGCUUGUGUGUUGGGUCUCGUCCCCCGUGGACGGGCCCGAAAGGCAGUGGCGGCGUCCCGACAUGGUGCCCGAGCGUAUGGGAAACCUCUUCCGCUCGAAUCGGCCCAUGCGGCGCUGGUCGUAACCAAAUUUUUUACCGGUUGACCUCGGAUCAGGUAGGGAUACCCGCUGAACUUAAGCAUAUCAAUAAGCGGAGGA